UUACACAAAAAAAUAUUCAAAUGAUUUC
rnacentral:sRNA from 1 species